ensembl:lncRNA
GCUUUUAGGAGCUUAACCCCUGAAGGAGAUUUAAAGCUGCUUGAUCUGAAGACCUUCGGUGAGCGUCUGUGUGAGCCCCCGCAGGGAGGCAGGAAGCCGGAAGUGCAGCAGCUGGUGACCUUCACGGAGCAGCAGUGGACUUCAGUGUUGCAGAUCCUCAGACAGCUGGAGCUGCGAGCUCUUUCAGACGACUUCAGCGCUCAGACUAAAGCCACCGAGGCUUGGAUCAGAGAGCAACAGCAGAAGCUGGAGGCUGUCAGCUGUCACGCCUCCCCUGGAGACAGAGUCUGUGCAGCUAAGGCUGUUCUAACCUCCAGACCUGAGGGCGACUUCAAGGUGAACAACCUAAGGAGACGAGGCCAGAGUGUUUGUGACCAUCAAGACGCUGACGAGGCCAGCAAAGUCUGUGUCCAACAGAGUGUGAAGGAAACAGAGCAGCAGUGGAGGAAGGUUCUAGAAUCGGCCAAACAACUUCAAUCUGCAGCAGAAGCUGAGAUUUCUCAGAAUAGAGAAAGAACAAUGUUAGAGUGGAGAGAAUUUGACACCAAUAUGGAAGACACUGAGCAUUGGCUGGAGGAUUUUCUUCAACAGCUGGGCUCUGUGAGCAGCCGAGCUAAAGCUGAGGACAGACUGCGUGCAGCACAGGCCAUUGUGAACUCAGAGUCUGAAACCGAAUCCAGGCUCCAGAGGCUCGGAGCGCAGGUUCACAGUGUGUGCCGCCAGGACCUGGAGGAGCACAAGAAACAAGAAGUCAAACAGAAGGUAAAAGACAUGGAGGAGAGGUGGACCAGAAUCCUGGAAGCUGCCAAACAAGCCCUGAGUCAGGCGGAGAGCCGAUGCGCUCUUGAGCAUCAGCUGGAGGACCUCCAGACCCUGAGAGAAGACUUCAGGAAGUGGCUGGAGGAAAAGCAGCACAACUUCCUGCUCCAGGGCAGGCUGACUAAUCCAGAACAGAGCCUCAACAACGCAAAGGAUUUGCUGAGCUGCAAACCUGAUGGGGACUCCAAGCUGAUGGUGCUCAGGAGGCAAUGCCAGAGCUUCCUUGACCGGGAGGGGUUGGAGGAGCAGGAGAGGCGAGACGCUCUUGAGAUGCUGCAGGACUCAGAGGAGCGAUGGAAAACUGUGCUAGAGGCUGCUGAGAACUCUCUGCGCCGAGUUGAGGUUCGAUAUUCGCUGUCCAGGGAGCUGGAGGCUUUCUGCACGCAUGCAGGCAGCACUGAGAGCUGGAUUGACAGCCUGCAGAAACAAGUCGACUCCAUGAGGGGGGGCACUCAGGGCACCAGAGCUCAGAUUGAGGAACGGUUAAACGUUGCACAGAUCGUCCUGGGCUCCAGGUCCCAGGGAGACGCUCAGGUGACAGAGCUAAAGAGGAGAGCGCAGAGUCUCUAUGAAUACGAGGAGCUGGAGGAGGACAGAAGGGCGGAGGUGCAGCAGAGGGUGGGGGACAUGGAGGAGCACUGGAGGACACUUGUCCAGAAUGCAGAGGAGACGCAGAGACAGCUGCAGGGUCUGGUGGACCGCCUGGUGUCCUGUCAGUACAAGCGAGGACAGGCGGCGACCCGUCUGGCUGAGCUGCAGAAGCAGGUGUCCAACCUGCGGUGCCUCUUCCCCUGGCCAGGCCUGGGGGAGCGAAGGCAGGCUGUGGACCAGGCCCGUGCCCUGCUGGAGCAAAGCGCCGCCGUGGCGCCACUUCUGUCUGCUGUGCGCACCCAGGCUGCUGAGCUGCUGGAAAUCACAAAGGAUCAAAGCUGGGCAGAUCCCUGCUGGACAGUUGAGGGCGGAGCCAUCGCUGCUCUGCAGAGCGAGCUCAAUGACGUGGUGUCCCAGCAAGAGUGUGGCAUCGUGGUGGAGCGGCAGUGCACCCUGCUAUUGGAGCAGCACCAAGCAGCCCAGGUUUGGCUGAGGGAGCAGGUCAAAGGGCUGGGACCCCCCCCAGCAGACCGACAGGGUCUGCACAACGCUGUCAACAAUCUAAAGGCUUUGGUCCAGACUGUCACCAGAGAGCAGAGGGAGAUGAAGGAGCUGGACUCUGCCAGAGACAGUUUGCUGAGGCACUGCACCCCUGCAGGCCAGGAUGCUCUGAACCUGGAGGUCAGCCAGCUCUAUGACCUCCAUGCUGGCUCUGAGAGGGAGGUGAGGGAGCGGCUGGCUGCCUGUGAGCUCCGGCUGGAGGAGAGUGACCGUGAGCUGGCCAGGAUGGCCGGGGAGCUGAGGGAGAGAGCAGCAGCCCUGCAGUGGGAGCUGCGCUCCCUGGACCAGGCGCUCAGCUACAGUGAACCACAGAACAAUAUUGUUCAGCUGCAGCAGCACUGGCACAGCCUACAGAACUGUGAGAACUCCCUGGAGGAUUUGGGCGGGAAAGUUGAGGAGUUGCACCAGGAGGUCGAGCUGACGUCUUUUACCAAAGAGCUGCCUGCAGAAAUUCUCAGUCUGGUUGAGUCUCUGUGCCAGCAGCACACCAGGUAAGCUGCUGCACUGAGGCGCUGCGUCACCGAGGACACCAAGGAAACACAAAGAAAUGAAAGAUCUGAAAACACAAUCUGACAAAACCAAACUUCAGAUUAUCCUGAAAUGGAAUUUCUGUGUUGGGAGUAACUGGAUUCAAAUAAGACUAUGUUUGCAGAUUAAAAGAGUUUAUGAAGGUAUGAAUGUCCUGUGUAAAUAACAGAUGAAUUAGCCAAUUUAAUAAAUGGCACAGACAGACCAAACCAUCAAAAUCUCUUUUCCACUAUAAACAAUUCACAACACAUUAUUGAGGGGAAAAAAAUUACCCUUUAAUUUGUUUUCUGCCAUUUUAUGACCAUACUUAAAAUGACCACAACGCGUUAAGUACUCAAACACAUAAUUCUAAGAAUGGGAACCAUCAAAACAUCAUCACUUCCUCAAGAGCCCAAGUUGUGUUAAAGCAGCUAACUAACUAACAAAAGGUUAUCCUAGAAGACACCAAAGACCUUGUUAUUUGCCAACUAAUAACAAUUUAAAAAAUGCAUGUAAAUAUAUAAAUUGGAACACUUGAUCAUUUGAACUAAUGAGGCUGGAUUUUAAAAUUAGAAAUGCCCCCUCCCUGCUUUUUUCUUUCUUUUAAAGAAUGUUUUAACAGCAGGAUUCCUGCCUGUCUUUAAUUAUGUUUUGUUACAAUUGUGUAUACAAGCCUGAAAAUGUUAUUAUUUGCAAUAUUUUGUAAAAAAUAAAUAAAUAAAUAAAUAAAAAUAAUUUCUUUAUUCAUUUAUCUUCUAAACCCGUUUAGUCCCUUUUGGGGUCACGGGGCUGCUGGAGCCUAUCCCAGCCACUUGUGGGCGAAGGCAGGGGACAUCCUGGACAGGUCGCCUGUCUUUCACAGGGCCGCGAUCACACACUCAUACACACUCACUGUCACACCUAGGGACAAUUUGGAGUAACUAAUUAUCCUAUGAAGCAUGUGUUUUGAUGGUGGAGUCGCUGGAGAAAUUCCACGCAUGCACUGGGGGAACAUGCAAACUCCACACAGAAAGAACUUGGGGAAAAGAAAAAAAAAAUAUCUGUUUAAAUAUUCUUUCGUUCCAACGAGCAAUGCACCAUUUUAUCCCAUUGAGCCCAACAUAAACUGAGUCUGGAGUCCCGCUGCUCCUCUCAGUUUAAUCCAGGGGUCAACAACCUUCAGCGCUAAAGAGGCCGUCUCUUUCUUACUGACCAAAACCCAACGCCAGCUGCAAUGUCCCACAUAAUUUCAAAAUGUUGUGCCCAUUAAGCCUUUUAUUCAGCUUUUAAAUGUUUACACUCAAUUUAACAGUGUUAUGGUUCUCAAAAUAUAAUUCAAAUAUAUUUUGCUUUGGACCGCUGCACAUAAAUGAUCCUUUUUAAAAUUAAAUAUAUCCUGGUGUCAAAUAACUAACCCAUUAUUUGUUUUAAACAUUUGUAUUUUUAUUCAAAGGUAAUAAAUAAAGGAAUAAAAGAGCCUCAGGUUACAGACCCCUGGUUUGAUCAAACCCCGUUCACCCUCUCCUUUUGUUUCAGAGAGCUUCCUUUUGUUAGCUGCUGCAGAAGUCCUUCGUCUCCUUUGAGACAAAUAGACUUUACCAGCAUUUGGAUGCAGUGUGGCAAAAAGCACUGCUGUAAAAUGAAAGACAUGUUCUAAAAACACAUUAUCUGUCCCACCACAGAGCAUACUCAGCGCUGCAGGGGAGGAUAAAAUCCCUUCAUUUACCGUGCUGUUGAAUAAAGAAACGGUGCUGCGCCCUGUCGCUUAUGUUG